UUUUUUUUUUUUUUUCCUCCUCUCCGAGCGGCAGCGGCUGCGCUAGCCACGGCGGUGCCGGUGGCCGCAGCAGCUGCCGUCCUCCAUCUUGCCUGGGAGGGGAACCGGGAGAGGAAGCGCGACCCCGCCCGAGGAACAAGGGUGGGGGCGGAAAGCUCGGGAAUCUCCGGCUGCGUCCGGCGCUGCUCGGGCGGGGGCGGCCCCACGGCUGUGCUCCCACCGAGACCGCUCCCUAUUGGCUGCGGCCCAGCGCGGGCUGCGGGGUCAGUCCCGGCGGUCCCCGAGAGCCAGGCGGGGUCUGGGCGUUGGAUUAUGUCAUUCUUUUAUUUUUAACCGCUUUCAGCUUCCCCUUCCUCACGCAGCGCGUGCUGCUCACGACGCUGCGCCCAGCGAGCGAGAGUGCUCGGUUCCUCCGCUAUGCCUGCGGCUCUCGCUGCUCGGAGGGGAAUGGGGGAUACGGUUUGGAUGGGGCCCUGGGCAGCCUGGUCCGGUGGGUGGCAGCCCUGUCCACAGCAGGAGGUUGGAGGUGAUCAUCUUUGAGGUCCAUUCCAACCGGAGUCAUUCUUUGAUUCUUUGGUCAUUUUCAAGUAACACAUUUAUGGUAACUAUUAUUUUUUUCAGUUAUCUCAAGGAAACAUCAAAAUGCCUUCUAUUGUGGACAAGUCCAAUGAACAUAAAGCAGUGGGCACAGGAAAAUGUUUCAAAUUAGCGUCCUGCUGGCAGAAGCAGUUGCAAUGUGAAUUCCUUUCUAGCUGGCCUAGCAGCAGCCACCGAGCAGAAACCUGCUCCUGAGCAAGCAGGAAUCAGACGUGGGAGCAGGAAUUAGAUAUUCUACACCAGCACAGAAUAACCUGCACGAGAAUGAGAGAAAAUGGGAUUGGUGAAUGAAAAGAGUUAAUAUAAUGAGUAAAGAAAAAAUAGAUCUCCUAGAAAUUCCAUAAUUCAAGCUCUUAGUGACUUGAGAGCAAGGUGGUACUCACAAUUAUAUGUUUUCAGAAUUAAGACUGUUAUUAUGUGCAACAGUGGAAAUUAAUAGUUCCCACUGUUGUUGUAGAUUGUUAUUUGUAGUCAGUUAUGCCAUUAUUGGCUUUGGAAGACUGUUCAGUCCAUCAGCUGUUUGAAAAGGAGAUACUGCACUUUUUUUUUUUUUUUUUUUCCACCUUGUUGCUCAUCCACCCAACUACACAACUGAUUGCCAGUGGCUGCUGGAAGGCCAAGGUCUGUUUGAAAAAUUUUGAAGGCUGUGCGACUGAAAUUUGUCUCUUCCACUGUCAUCUCUAUCUGCUGAAUAGCAGGAGAGGCUUCUUUUGUUUACUACAUGGGUGCCCUGAAUCAUGCCUCCCUUUAGAAGAGCCUCUCAUCUAUACAAAACCAAGGGAAUCUGGAACAGUUCCCAGCUCCUAGGAUUUUGUUUCAUACAUUGAUUGAGAUCAAGUGGUUGUAAUUUACGUUCUUUACCUGCACCAGAGGCGGUCCUUACGGAGAUACCUUCAGCAGCCAAAUACGUGCAUAACCUUUGCAGCGUUCAAAAGGACUGUAGCAAUAGUUGUGGUCAUGCUUACGUUCGUGAUACAACAUUUACCGAUGGAUAAAUUAAAUCAAUAAAGAUAGGAAAAUUAUAUUCAAGUUGAGUUAGUGAACACUUGUAAUUAUAUAAGGAUUUGAUGCACAGAUAUUAAUACUGUGACUUUAGGGAAUCAAGUUUCUUAGUCCAUUUUGUUUCGAUAAUUUUAGGCUUAAAAUUUCCCAGGAAGGUGAGGGGUGAGCAUGAAUUGUCUAUGUGGAGAACACUGCGUGUAGAAAAGUUGCGUGAGUUUGCAUACAUUGGAAGCUUGGCAUUAGCGAAUAGCCUUGUUCUCCACCCUCGGCUCCGACUUUACUUCUCUCAGUUUUUGUCAGUCUACAAGUGUUUUUGCACCAAUUACAAUGAUAAACUCAGUAGAAGAAAAAUACUCUUAUUAAAUAAAAUAUUUUAAGGGUACCGUGACCUGCUAAAUAUCAAUAUAGCUAAGGCUGAGAAACAUUUUUAUUAAUUGCUUACCAGGAUUUUUUAAAUCUAAAUAAGUUGAAAAAAUCGCUAUUUUGUGAAUGUACACAUAUAUAUGUAUAAAGGCACUUUAUUUUAUGAAAGUAAAUUGUUCAAAAAGACUUACACCUGAGAAAGAUGAAAACUGUAAAAGAAGUAUUGUUUCAUUUGUAUGUCCUUUAUUUUUCAUGUGUGGUGUCAUACUUGGGUUGAACAGUCAUUCUAAAACCAUUAUAUUAAUGCACAAAAGACUUUAUUCCAGGCAAAGAGAUCACUUGUGAAGGACGAAGCUUGCACAGUAUCCAGGCUGAGAAGUGCCACGUGUCACCUUGUGUUUCAUCCCUAAAGGACUAUGCGAGCUGGAUAUUGCUCAAGUUCUUUUACUUCACCAUUUGCUGUCCUCUUAAUGAAGGCAAAGAUUGCCUCAUUUUUAUAAGACGAUAAAUAAAGAGGGGCAACAGCUUGGUUUUAAAUCACUGAUACUUACAAGCUUUCAGGAGAAGUAAAGUAGGAGCUCCUUCAUUUAGAUGAGCAUCAGACAGGAGAUAACACUGAUCUGUCUGGGUGGUCAGUCUGAAUUUGUCUCAUUGCUGAGAAUCAAAAAAGCUUUCAAUUGUGAGAAGGAAAAAAGAGACAACCGCCAGUUUUUUUGCAGUACUUCUCACAGUUGUUUACAAGUUUUACUACGCACUUUUAUUUUACAAACUAAAACAGAGUGUAACAAUAUGAGGACAAGAGUUCCACAUGGGCAUUUUAAAGGAAGAGAUGUGUGGACUUCCCUUCAAUCUAGCCAGCCUGCAAGAACUGCUUCUUAGAAAUAUUAUUUUUCUGUAGCAGGCUUUUGGCAAGUUCCAGAUGAAUCUGUAAUGCAGAAGUGCUUGUGAAAAGUGGUAGAGAAUGCCAUACCAGUUGCUGUUGUGCUUUUGGGAUGACAAGGCUUCUUUGAAGUUUGUGGCAGUUAAGGAAAGCAACCAAAGUUAUUAAUGUGUAGCACCUCCAAGUUGCUAUCUGGACUCUUAUCUACAUUGCGCUUGUGUUAUAGAAACAUUUGUCAACUUCAAAUUUUUCUCCAAGCACAAGAUGCAUCUGUGUUAUCUGCAGAGCUGCUCUGAGCCAUUUUCCAACAGUUACGAUUAUUAUCUCCACCUUUUGUGCAGUAGCUUCUAUGUCUUUUUGAAAGUGCGCUGUAGUUGUCUUGAGUACUAUUAAGUCUAUGUGGUCCUCUCUCGUACGGUAUCAAACCAAGUUCUCUUUUCGUUAUAUGAAUUUCAUGAGCUUUUCAAACUUCUGCUUUUGACUCUUCAUCAGUUUUUCUACUUUUCUGAAGAACAACCAUUUUUUUUUUUAGUAUCUGAUAAUGGAUGAACUAUCUGUCAUCUGUGUAAUAUGUUGCCAGUGUACUUGAAAAUAUUUUUCAAGUAUUUCCACUGGUAAGAAUUUAGCAUUCUUACAUUUCUUAUAAACUUAGAGCAGCACUGCCAGCACCCACCAGAGCAUAACAUUUCAUAGGUACUCUUAAUACCUGAAAUAAUAGGUUUAGUGCACUUAAGUUGAACACUUUAUCUGGCCAGAGUUUGAUGGCCACUACAACUGAAGUUUGCCUGCUCAUGUGGUCGUGACUGUCAAAUCUUCAGCAGGGAAUGAAGCAAGUUUUUAGUAACCUACAGACCAAUGUGUGCGUUUUUGCAUGUCAUUUACCAAAAAAGUUAACCAUCCCGAUUUUAUUUAUAGCCAAACCACAAUUUUUUUUUUUUUUAAUUCUCACCAUUUCAGUGAUGUGAUAUCUCUAUAAAAAUCCAGCUCCCAGUACUGCUACACGGCAUGUACUGACUUGUCAAUGUCAAGGACACUUCUGUUACGUGUAGAAAUUAUACCAUCCGUCUGAUGUUUUAAUGACUAUUGGUGGUCUAUCUGCCAUCUGUUGACUAACCUCAGCCUAAUGAAGUGUUGGUUUUCUUUUUACACUUAGGCACUCAUAAUUCUACAUUAUUGUACAAUUAUUGGCAGCUGAACCACUUGGCUGCAUCUCAGACAAGUCAUUCCAUUGCCUUUGCUGUCUACAUCUUAAAAAAUGCUUGUUCUUACCCUAAGGAAGUACGCAUAUAUGUAAAUGGACACACGUGCACACUCUAAUUUCAGAUUUUCUAUCACUGGCAUUAACAUUUAGGCUACCCUGAUCUUUCAAAGUGUACUUUCCUACAUGUCCAAGAUUUCCUAGGUAGAUAUGUGUGUACUGCUUCAGAGUCUUGCUGAAAGAAUUGAACUUACUGUGCCUGGCUGAAAACAGCAUGUACAUUCAUUAUAAGAUCACUGCCUGACUGAAUCAUGUCCAGAAAUCCUAAGAGUAGGACAAUGCAUACUAAAGACUCUACAGAUGUUUUGUUCCCCCUUUUUAAUCAGUUGUACUCAAGGUGGCAUGGGUCCUUGUUCUGUUUGUAAAGCAAUUUUCAUUUGAACAUCCUGCAGUGUGCUUCUCACUUCACAAUAGAGCAACAUGUAAAUCUGUAUAUUCUUGAUCACUUAAGAUUUGUAUACCAGUGUGUUCAUCCCUGAAUUUUCAAAGUCUAAGUUUUGAUUAGGGUAUACCUCCAGGUAAUCAAAUAAGAGAGAUGUGGUUGAAGUUUGGUUUGGAUUGUUUUUUUUUUUUCCUGGAUAAAGGGGCUGGCAACAGUACAUGUGUUCAUCUUAAUUGAUGAGGAGUUAAAUAUGUCUGCUCAGUCUUUCUUCAGUUUUAACAGCAUUUCAUGAAAAAAACUCAAAGAAAAAUUCAAGGUUGUCCUCUUCUUGCUGAAUUCCACCUUCUACCAACUCACAUGUUAAUCCUUACGAGGAAAACCAUCUUGUUGGAAGUCUUCAUAAGUUUUGAGCUAAGAAAUCAGGCUCCAGCAAUUUGGAUGAACUGAAACAGUGAAGACUUAAGACCAUGACUGGCUUCAGAGAAGACUGACUUUGCAUCCUGGUGAUGGAGGCUCAAAAAUAGCUCACCAAUUAAUCUAAGCUAUUAUGCUGGUGAUUGCCAACAGAUUAGCAGGCAGUCUUACGCUAUGUCCCUUUCUUAUACCAAGCUUGAAGACACACCCUAUUACUACACCUGUGAGAAAACUGUUCCCUCACUAUCAAAGCAGUGUUAAGUCCAGACGUCAGUUAUCCUUCUUCUUUAACAGUAAUAGUUUAUUUUACUUGCUUGCUUACAAUCAGCUGUCAAAAUAGUGUGCAAGAACAGGCAUAAAGUAGCACAGAAGAGCCAUACAUAAAAUAGAAUUGUAAACUAUGAAUGCAGACAAAAUCAAGAGUCAAUCAAAACUGAAGAAUAAAACAAAUGGCAUCCUGCUUCAGGAAUUAUCUUCCAGAAGAGAGCAUUUAAAUCAGUUCUCCGCUUGUGUACUUGUAUUCAUGUAGCUUCAUCAGCAUGCUGGUUUAGAGUUGCCCAGAUUGGAAAGCAUCUUGGAUGCCUAUGUCUGUAUCACUUCUGUCAAUCAGUAUCUUCUAACAGGGACUGAAGAAAUUUGAGUAACUGCUUAUGCAACAAACAAACCAAAUCCUUUUCUGUGCACAGAACUGAGUUGCAGUUUGAGCCAUUUAAAAUCUGCCAGUUUAAAAAUUAUGCAUGUAUAUUUGCAACACUUUUGCACAUGGUCCUAGGGAAUUAGUUUUCACAGGAACUUACGAACCUACUGAAUUUGUUGAUUUUGUAUGACUGAAGUCUUUGUAGCUUGAUGGUUCCCCAAAUGCAUUCAGUGCCUGCUGGCUUCACUGCUUUGAAUGGCAAAGAGUGUAAGUUAAGUAAGAUUUACAACUGGACCUCGAGAUUAUUCAGGUUCACUUUAGAGUUCGGUAAAGAGCCAUUUUCAAAACACAGGAUUUUCAGUACCAGUAAAGGCUGUUCUGCUGCAGUGAGGCAAGCGUUUUUAACUAGACUGUAUGAGUAUACAAACAGAUCCCUAGGAUUUGUUUCAUUUGGAGAUAAUGGAUUUACUCAGAAAAAGGCUUUCACACUACUGAGGAGGCCUCUUGAGACCCAUAGCUGGUUCCCCACCAACACCACCUGUUGUCGCAGGUGAUUUCUGGUAUCAAAGCCACAUUUUGCAAUUUGAUUUAUUUAUUUUUAAAUACGUACAUGUAUAAUGAUUUCUCCCUUCCCUUGCUUUUAUCAAGGCUUUGUCUCCGGAUUGGUUAUUUCAGCAUAUUCUUUGCUUCCUGCAGUUAUUUCACUAUUGCUUAUGGUCUCUAUGCAUAAAAUGUGAUGUGCUCAGAUCAGUAAGCGAAUGGUUUUAUUUAGGGAGGUCAGCUUCUAGGUAAGAAUUUAUUAUUCCUUCGUACCAAGCAGCCAAAAUUGUCAUCCUAGUUGGUUAUACUGUUCACUAGGCAGUAGCAACAGAUGUUAUUGCUGACAUUGAUUUAUCUUAGUGAAUUUUGUGAGAGUAUAUGGUCAUGAAUUGCUAUCUUCCAGAAGCUUGCCUUCUUCCAGGAGCUGCUGCAGUGGGAAAGAACUGACCAGUGUGGAACAAAGUUUCCUAGUGUUUCCUUUAUUCGUACUGAGAAGGUCGAAUUCCUUGCCAUGCCUGGGCAGCCACUUGGCUUUCAGCAGCAGAAAGGCAGCAGCUGCAGCAAUGUUCAGUGGGCAGAGAACAGUAAAUAAAUUGUUUUUAUUUUUUUAUGUCCUCUCCAAUUUUUCAAUUAGAAGACAAACCCUCUCUUAUUUUCCUUCCUGCUUGGUGUAUCUCUUUUUCUCCAGUAUAUCACAGUAAGCUAAUUGAGCAAAAUGCAACUGCUUGCCAGCAUUUUGCUCCUUACGUGCUCGCUUUCUUCUCUUUUCUAUUUAGCAGCUAAUUUCAUUGGUAGUCCCAGUUUCCUAUUUUCAACUGAAUUGGCUAAUUAGAGUGGAACCCUUGGGCACAACAGUGACAAGUGUUUGAUAUUCGCCCCGAAAGGUAUCCAGCACAUACUGCUAUUGGCAUGUUAACUCCAGUUACAGCCAGUUGCUUCUAAAGAUGUUCAGCAACUGGCAGACCAUUCAGAACCUGAAAAGUUGUUUGGUGCUCCACAUUCCCUCUGGAGUCUCAGCUGCUGUUUCUGAAGAUAGAAAUGCAGAUGGGCUUCAACCCCCUUGUCUUUCCAGUUCUUAGCCCCUUUCUCAGUACACAAGACCAAAGAUGUUAUCUGUGUAUGCUCUCAUUCUGGAACAGAUAAAGGGUUUCUUGAUUUGUACAUGAGGCAAGUUUACAGAUCAGAUGCUCAGUAUGGCUUACAGUGCAUCACUGCAUCCCAGUUCUCAGAGAUGAGGAGCAGAUAAUGUGGACAAGAGCAGUAUUCAGUUGGCAGCACUCCCAGGAAAUGCCCACAAACUUCUGGGCAUUGGCAUGCUUGUAAAAGAUACUGUUUUUACAUUUCACUAAAAUGAUUUGUGCAGAUUAAUAAGCCAAAAUAAUCCUUUGACAGGUAAAAGGCUUCAUCUAAUCAUUCCUGUCGUCAUUGUUAUUAGUGUGUAGCCCUAAGAUUUCACCAGAUGUUUCCUUCGUACUGAUAAGAGUUGCAAAAUGACUUUUUGACUGUAAAUUUCUAACGAUAUAGCAGCCAGAUCAGGAACAAGUAACAUGCUGUACAGAUAUCUAUUUCAGUUCAUUUGCUAAGGAUUUCUUUUCAUCUAAACACUAACAUUUAAAUUAUCAAUACUUCUUAAUGAACGAUUGCAUGUGGGAUCUCAGGGAGCAAUUACUUGAAAUUUUGCUUCUCACAUUAUGUGCUUGAAUUUCUUUCCUAUUUACUACUUCACCUAACACAGGUAUUUCCUGUGUGAGACCUACCAAGUGUAUAGUUCCAGCUUCCCCUAAACUUAGACACUUGUUCAAUAAGUUUAGAAAUUUGCACAGUUUAAGGAGGUUUUGAUUUGUCAUGUCUGCAAGGGCUUAUCAAAGGUGCCUUGCACAGGAGAUACAGCAGCUCGUGUGAAUACUUGCCACUGUGGUGUUCAGUGAAAGGUGAGACCAAUUUAUGUCCUCUAGCCAAAUACGAAAUCUGAGCAUCUUUAUCACACUAUGGAGAUUGUGUGACAAGCUAUAAUUUCUUUAUAAAAUCAACUUUUCCGUACGUGGGUAUUUUAGGUAACAUGUUGAUUCAAGUUUCAUGUUCUCAUUUAUAACAUUCUUCAUAGACUUUGAUUGCUGGGUUGAGCCAUGAAUCAAUACCACUGCUAUCACAACCUGCCCCUAAAUUUUGUAAAAAAAAAAAAAAGUCUCCUCUGCUCUGGGCUGAGCAAACCCAGAGGCCUCAGCUGCUCCUCAGUCAUCUUGCCCUCAGACCCUUCAGCAUCUUCAUAGCCUUCCUCUGGACACUCUCUCAUAGUUUUAUGUCCUUCCCAUACUGUGGCACCCAAAGGCACACAGUGUCGCAGGUGAGGCCGCACAGCGCAGAGCAGAGCAGAGGGGACAGCCCCUCCCCUUCCUGGCUGGCAGUGCUGGGCCUGGUGCACCCCAGGGUAUGAUUGCGGCCCUUUGGGCUGCCAGGGCAUGCUGCUGCCUCACAUUCAGCUUUCCAUCAUCCAGAACCCCCAGAUCCCUUUCCAUGGGGCUGCUCUCCAGCCUCUCAUCCCCUAGUCUGUACAUACAGCCAGGAUUGCCCCGACCCACUUAAUAUAAUUGGUGGUUGCUCAGCCCUCUAAUUUGCCAAAAUCUCUCUGCAAGGUUUCUCUACCCUGGAGGUUUUGACAGUUCCUCCCAUUUUAGUGUUGUCUUCAAACUUACUCAGCAUACUUUCCUGUUUUUCACUGAAGUAAUUUAUGAAAACAUUAGAGAACUGGCCCUAAAUUAGAGCCCUGUGGAACCCCACUGGUGGCUGGUCACCAGGCUGAUAUAACUGCAUUUACUGUAACUCUUUGAGCCUGACCCAUCAGCAAAUUUUUCAUCCAUUGCAUUAUGUUUUUGUCUAGCAUGCUUUUUGUCUGUAUGCUAGACAAAAACAUGCUUGUCCCGAAGGACUUCAUGAAAAACAUGACUUCUCUUGGUCAACUAGGUAGGGAACCUUAACAAUAAAAGGAAAUUAAAUUAGUUAAAUGGCACUUUCCCCUCAUGCAGUCUAUCACAAAGUGUUUUUCUUGAAACUCUCAGACUAAUCUUGUCCAUAAUUUUUCCAGGUACUGAAGUGAUACUGACAGGCCUCUUAUUACCAAGGUCUUCUUUCUUGUCCUUGAAUACUGGGACAGUAUUUGCCAGCUUCUAGUUGACUGGGACCUCCCCAGAUUCCCUAGAACUGGAUUUUAUCCCUAGAUAAAAUUGCAAUAUGAAGGUCCCUAAGAACCUUAUUCUUUAAUUCCUUUUUUUUUUUUUUUUUUUUUUUUGUAAUUUACUGGUUUAUCCUUGUCAUAUUUCAUAGCAUGCAAGGGCACAUACAUGUACCUUAUCCUUUUGAUGUGAAAAAAAUUGUAUUUCUGAUCAUUUCACUCCAUACUAGCAUUUAUUACAAAGAUUAUAGUUAUUCACAAGCGCUCAAAUUCUGCCCAUCAUCAUGGAUUUCAUUUUCCACUUUUAUAUCUUGUGCUGCAUUUGAUAAAUAUUAACUACUAUUUAACACAACAAUUCUGUUUAAAAUUUGUUAUAUGUAAUGUCAAAAGAUGGAAAUACUUACACUGACUUUUCAAGUCACCUGGUGGACUUUUUAGGGGUUUUCCAUAAGAAUGGUAUCAACAACUAAAUAUUCAAAAUAAUUUUCUGUAUUUGCUGACAAAGAUUUCUAUACAAGGAAUUUUUCAGAAAACAUUCCUUAUUUUUUUACUACAGUGAGAGUAAUCUAGCAUUUUUUUCCUUUUAUGCCGCUUCUUCUGCACUAGCUUUAAGCCAUCAGUUCUCUCCAACUGUAAUUGCUUUGGCAGGAUUCAAAGCUAGUUUUCUUCUUUUUCGUACAUAAUGAAAUGAAUUAACUCCUUCAUCAUUCAUUCACGAGGCACAUUUAUUCCUUGCAAUAAAUUUAGAAGCAUUAUUGUUUCCCAUCAAAUCAUCAACAUUAUUUUUUUCUAACAUAUUCAGAAAAUACUUAUAUCCCAUCGAUAUUUUCAUGUAUUUAAGAAUCAAAUUUUAGAGUAUUAAGAGUAUUAUUUGAGAGUAUUAAUAUUUUCAUAUAUCUAAGAUAUUUAGAUUACUGUAUAUUAGGUAAUAAAGUGAAUAUUGAAAACAUUCCAAAGAGUGACAUGUUGCUUUAAUUAAUCCUGAGGUUUUGUGAACAAGGCCAGUCAUAACACUAUAAAUAAACAAUACAAAGCCACUCUCCAGAGUGAUACCCAUGGAAGAGUAUGGUGACAGCUGAGGCUGGAUACUAGUCAUGGAGAUGCAGAACUGCUUCAGAUGGCUGUCAGCAGUCUUUUCAUAAUAGACUUACUGAAUGAGUUGAACAAGUGUAUGGGAAAGGAGGUGAGGAGAAAAAGAAGAGUGCUGUGCUGGGAUAAGCUUGAAACAAACUGGUAUUUUCAUUUUCCAUAAAAUGAACUGUUAUAAAUGACAGAAUUGUCUGGGUAUUUUUUUCAAUGACUGCUGACUUCGGAAGUGUUAGAGGUAUGAUUACAAGGAAAGGUUUCUUCUCUAUUCACUAAACACAAUGCACCAUAAAAAGUGAAAAGACUAAUCUGUAAUGUCAUCUUCUAUCUUGUUUCAGAGAGCAAUACCAAAUGCUGCACAGAAAUAAAGUUUUACCAAUAGCCCUAUGCUGUUAUCAUAAAUCCUAAAAUACCAGUAUCACUAUCCUGUGAGAAAUAUUCAAAUUGUGACUAUUGUACUUGUAGGUGAUAGGAAGCUGAUUGGAAAGCACGGUAAGAAAGGUGGUAUCUUUGAUCACAUGAACUGGUAUAACAGGAAAAGCCAGACAAGCUUUUAGGCACACAUAUGUUUCAAACCAACUGGAAUACUCUUAUGUGCCUUACCAUUAUUUAUUUAGUUAGUUAUUUAGUUUGUUAAUGACUUAGUUAGCUACAUUCAUUGGCUUAAAAAGACUUUUUUCUUUCUGUAAAUUUAGUUUCUCUUACAUCCAUAGAAUACCAUGGCCACAGAAAUACUAUUUUAAAAUGAUUUGAGAUCCAUAAAUGGGUUAUUUCCUUCCCCUUUCACAUUAAAGAAAACAGGGGAGAUAUGAGCCCUUUGUCUCUCUAUUCCAUUUACCAAAUUAAACUUUGAUCGCAUUUGAAACUAUAAUUCUCUGCAUAUUACACGGACUUAGUUACUUCUAUACAUUCCCAUAUGUAUGUCUUCUGUGUUUCUGAAGACUUUUGUUAGUCUUUUCUGGACUCCAUUGCUUCUCUACCUUUUAUAUCAGAUAAUGUAAUAGAAGCUCAUUAGAUUUCAAAGUUCCUCUCCAGCUGGUAGUUUCCUGUGUUCAACAAGUUCUGGUAUUAACAGUAAAUAUAUUGGUGGCAUAAUCUUACUUUAGUCUGAAUUGUGAGUUGUAGUCAACCCAUCCAAAGAAGUCAUCUAGCAGGUACACUUGUCUCACUUUUAUAAUAUCCUUACUUUACACUAGCACAAAAUUGGGGAUUUAUUACAUUAAGCUUGGUGGGGGAAUAAAGGUUUUACAUUCUCAUAUUUAUUUAUUUAUUUGUUUUAGUUCUGGUAUGAUAAUAACAGAUUAAAAAGUUUAGAAUUAAAUAAAAAAAAUGAGAGACUUAAUGCAUUUAGAAAUAUGGACAUAAAUCUGUAUUAUACCUUUAGGAAAAGGUUAGACAAAUAAACACAAGAAGUGAAAUAGACUUAUGUCUGCCUGCCUUGGGGUAGCGCUCUAAAUUGGACAGCCUCUGAAGGUACUUUUAGACCUAUAAUUUUGCAGAAUGAAAUGCAUAAUUAAGAUGUUUAGAGCUCCCUGUACAUGCAUUAAUCUAAGUCAUUUAGGUACAUUUACAUUUUACUAGUCACUCUCUUUCACAUCACUAAUAAAUCACGCAGAUAAUGGUGGUUCUCGAAUAGAGUCUUGCUCAUACCAAACACCAGCACAAAAUCAUUCAACAGCGACUCCUCUUAUUUUCAUCUUUUCUCUUCUUCUGCUUACCUAUUUCUCUUUGCCUUUUACUGUGUAACUUGUUUCAUUUCUCCUUGAUAGGAAUUUAUGUGGGAACUUUUCACAUGGAAGAUAAAACCAUGUGUGCUAACAUGUCAAUUUAUACAGUGAUUUUUAUACCAACAUGAUGCAUUUUGUAAAGCUGGAAUAUUUUCUUUGGUUUAUAGAAUGUUGCUUUGGAAGAAGUUUUAAUUAAAGUUGGAAAGGCUUAUUUUAGUCUAGAGCAAUCAUGGCCAUGCAAAGAUUGAUACAGUUUUAAAGCCUGCAUAUUGAUUUAACAAUGUCACUAUAAAAUGUACAGUAGUAUGACUGUUCCUAUAGAAACAGCCAAAUAUUCUAGUAUAGACAGAACCUUUCUCUGUGAUAAGAUUAUUUGGGCUAGCGACCUUUAUCAAGUUAGACAUACCUGUGAGAUAAAGGGUGUAAUUCUAAUCUUCUGGUGUACAGCUGUAUGUGUUUUAAUUAUUUUUCAAUAAACAGAUAUUUCAGUA